CCUCCAGCUGCAGAGAGCUUCAGUUUGCCUUUUUUUUUAAAACUAAAAUGGAGGCUGGUUUCUUGCCUUAAGGAGCCCAUUGCCUUUCCCGCUGAAGUUUAGAUGUUGACAUGUAAUAAAGCGGGCAGCAGGAUGGUGGUGGAUGCGGCCAACUCCAAUGGGCCUUUCCAGCCCGUGGCCCUUCUCCAUAUUCGAGAUGUUCCUCCUGCUGAUCAAGAGAAGCUUUUUAUCCAGAAGUUACGUCAGUGUUGUGUCCUCUUUGACUUUGUUUCUGAUCCACUAAGUGACCUAAAGUGGAAGGAGGUAAAACGAGCUGCUUUAAGUGAAAUGGUGGAAUAUAUCACCCAUAAUCGGAAUGUGAUCACAGAGCCUAUUUGCCCAGAAGUAGUCCAUAUGUUUGCAGUUAACAUGUUUCGAACAUUACCACCUUCCUCCAAUCCUACGGGAGCAGAAUUUGACCCAGAGGAAGACAAACCAACGUUAGAAGCAGCCUGGCCUCAUCUACAGCUUGUUUAUGAAUUUUUCUUAAGAUUUUUAGAGUCUCCAGAUUUCCAACCUAAUAUAGCGAAGAAAUAUAUUGAUCAGAAGUUUGUAUUGCAGCUUUUAGAGCUCUUUGACAGUGAAGAUCCUUGGGAGAGAGAUUUUCUUAAAACCACCCUUCACAGAAUCUAUGGGAAAUUCCUAGGCUUGAGAGCUUACAUCAGAAAACAGAUAAUAAUAUAUUUUAUAGGUUUAUUUAUGAAACAGAGCAUCAUAAUGGCAUAGCAGAGUUACUGGAAAUAUUGGGAAGUAUAAUUAAUGGAUUUGCCUUACCACUCAAAGAAGAGCACAAGAUUUUCUUAUUGAAGGUGUUACUACCUUUGCACAAAGUGAAAUCUCUGAGUGUCUACCAUCCCCAGCUGGCAUACUGUGUAGUGCAGUUUUUAGAAAAGGACAGCACCCUCACGGAACCAGUGGUGAUGGCACUUCUCAAAUACUGGCCAAAGACUCACAGUCCAAAAGAAGUAAUGUUCUUAAAUGAAUUAGAAGAGAUUUUAGAUGUCAUUGAACCAUCAGAAUUUGUGAAGAUCAUGGAGCCCCUCUUCCGGCAGUUGGCCAAAUGUGUCUCCAGCCCACACUUCCAGGUGGCAGAGCGAGCUCUCUAUUACUGGAAUAAUGAAUACAUCAUGAGUUUAAUCAGUGACAACGCAGCGAAGAUUCUGCCCAUCGUAUUUCCUUCCUUGUACCGCAACUCAAAGACCCAUUGGAACAAGACAAUACAUGGCUUGAUAUACAACGCCCUGAAGCUCUUCAUGGAGAUGGACCAAAAGCUAUUUGAUGACUGUACACAACAGUUCAAAGCAGAGAAACUAAAAGAGAAGCUAAAAAUGAAAGAACGGGAAGAAGCAUGGGUUAAAAUAGAAAAUCUAGCCAAAACCAAUCCCCAGGUACUAAAAAAGAGUAACAUGAAAACGCCCAGGGUUACUUGAAUG